rnacentral:misc_RNA from 1 species
CUUUUAUCAUUCAAUGUCCAUCCGAGAUAUUUCAAAUACAAAUCCUGCAAAAACAGAGAGGGGUAUGACAGGAUCCAGACACCCAAUGACUGUAUGCAUGCCAUUCUGAUAUCAGGUUCGACAUCUCGAUAACGGUGCAUAAAUAGCCCAGUAAAUAUCUUCCGCAUCAUCUCCUCUAUUAUUGUUAUCUUUUCAUGGGUCAUGGAUAAUCUUUUAUUUAGUGAUUCAACUCGAGGCCCAUCCACUUUCUUCUUCUGUUCAGCAUUUAGCUGUCUCUGUGUGGUUUCCCGCUGUGAACCAAGUACUUUGGCAAUGUGUAUAAAGGAUGUAACAAGUUGAAGCCCCAUUAAUGAAGCAACCUGACGAUAUACUCUAGGAGGAGUGCAUGAUAGCGCAAUCACAUAAUCCAUGCACUUGUCAAACAAGACCCUAUCAAAAAGUGGUCCAUUUUCACAUUCAGCAACCAGGGUAUCCCAGAAGUAGACGAGAUUAUCUUUGAAGUUCUUGAAGUCCUUCUUCUUUGAAGUUUGAUAAUCCUCAACUUCACCCCUCUUAGCCAUGUUUACAAGA